GAGGCCUUGAAUAGUCACUGGAGCUGGAAGUAGGAAAGGGUGGGGCAAGCACAUGGCCCCACUGGGCAGCUCCCUCACCCCAGCGCCCCCUGGUGCUCAGCAGGUGGUGCUUCACCAAAGGAGACAGAGGAAAAGGCCACACAGCUGAUCUCCUUUCUGGGCAAGGGGCACAGGUCAGCGGGUGACACGGGAACGACUGGCAUCACAGCGUAUCACACGGGCACAGUCAUCGCGGAGCCGCAGGGGCACUUGGAGCCGAUCUCCCGACGUCACAGGCGACCCGAGCCCUGCGCCGAGUGAGCGUCUCUUUGACCGGGUGCCCCGCUGCGGACGAGGCGAGCAGAUCGAGACCCAUGAAAAGCAUGCCCUUGGGCGAGGAGGAGAACAAGAAGAAAGAUGCAGACGUGAGCCUGGCCUGCAGUGCUCUCUGCUCUCUGACUGGGCCCAGCUCGGUCCCCUUUGGCAGCCAGGCUGGUGCGGGCCGGGGUCUCCCCAGAAGGAAGGCAGGGGGACCCCUGGAUAAUGUUUCCGUCCCCGACCGGCCUCACAGCUGCCGACAGGCCGUCCGGCCCAGCAGGCGGUCCUUCCUCAGCCACAGGCCUUGGGCUCACGCCUGCCAUGCGUGAGGAUCGGCCUGACGCCUUACCACCAUUUGCUUGGGGCUGUUUCCUGGCAGUUUUUGUUGUGAUUAAUCCCAAGACUCAGAGACACAGGUCCUAUUUAUUUAUUUUAUUUUUUAAAAAUAUAU